rnacentral:rRNA from 1 species
UACGUAGGGGGCUAGCGUUGUCCGGAAUCAUUGGGCGUAAAGAGCGCGUAGGCGGCUAGAUAAGUCCGGUGUGAAAGUCACAGGCUCAACCUGUGAAUGCCGCUGGAAACUGUCUGGCUAGAGUCCGGAAGGGGCGAGUGGAAUUCCUGGUGUAGCGGUGAAAAUGCGCAGAUAUCAGGAGGAACACCAAUGGCGAAGGCAGCUCGCUGGGACGGUACUGACGCUGAGGCGCGAAAGCGUGGGGGAGCAAACAGG